UGAUUAAUAAAACUUUCUAGUCAGAAAUUAUUAUUUAUAUUUCCCUGGGGUGUAAAUGUAAUGUGACAUAGAGACCCAUUUUUUGAAAAUUGGAAAAAAAAAAUAGAACAUUAGAUUAGGCAGUAAGAUUAAGAAUCAAGCCAUAAUUAUUACUUUUUAAAUAAUUUAUUACUAGAUUAAAAAAAAAAAAAACUGUGACAGAGAGUGCUGGGUGAAAACUUUUCCGUUUCUUUUAGGCUUUUUGUCAACAUUUUUACUGAGGGUGCCAAUAAUAGUUGAUGUUGAGUUAUUUUGUUACUGUUUCAGACGGAUAUUAACUAUAUUAAUUUCUUUUAAAUUAAACAUUUAUUUAACCAGAUUAAAACCCAUUUAGAUCAAGACCUCUUUCAAGUCAUAAAAGACAAGACAAGUAAACAGAAAUAACAAAAAUAGACAUUAGAAACAUAUAAAAUGCAAACAAUUUGACAAGUAAAUAUAAAAUAAGCUCCUCACAUCAGUGUCACAAGAUAAAUCCAAAGGAACUCUUAGAAUUUAAGGAAAACUAGCCAUCUUCCUUAGAAACUUCCACUUAUAGUCUCACCUUUUUACAUUUCUUAGACUUUUGUAAAACUAAGCAGAAGAAUCAUAAGAAGAGAUCGUUUUGUUUGCUUUGAGGAAAAGUGUGAUUUAUUUAAAUCCUGAGCAGUUCACGUUUAAAGCAGAUGUUCAUUCAGGUUCUCACUCAUGUGCCUUAAUGCUGAUGUGUUCGAUGGUGAAAGUUUUGUCUGAGGUGUCUGUGGUUCGUUUUACUUGUGAUGUGCAAACAGUCCUAACUGGUGUAACUGUAAUGAUUGUAGUAAAAUUAAAGCCUAGUUUCAUUAUUUAUGAAAGUAAUCUUUAUUUUCCUGCUUUUCCUGACAAAGCAGUUGUAUUCUGUGUAGCCAAAUGUUGUCUAAAAUAACGUGAUUCUGAGACUAUAUCGGUGUGUACCAGAAGUUGUACUGUAUGUGUAGGUGUGUUUAGGCUGUGAGGGUGACUAAAAUGAUAUUUGUGCAAUAAAUGCUGCCCCCUUUUUUUGUCAGUA